CAGGGAUUGCCUCAGUAACGGCGAGUGAAGCGGCAACAGCUCAAAUUUGAAAGCUGGCUCCUUUGGGGCCCGCGUUGUAAUUUGUAGAGGAUGCUUCGGGUGCAGUGCCGGUCUAAGUUCUUUGGAACAAGACGUCAUAGAGGGUGAGAAUCCCGUAUGUGACUGGUUGCUUGCGCCCAUGUGAAGCUCCUUCGACGAGUCGAGUUGUUUGGGAAUGCAGCUCUAAUUGGGUGGUGUACUUCAUCUAAAGCUAAAUAUUGGCCAGAGACCGAUAGCGCACAAGUAGAGUGAUCGAAAGAUGAAAAGCACUUUGGAAAGAGAGUUAAACAGUACGUGAAAUUGUUGAAAGGGAAGCGCUUGCAAUCAGACUUGCGCGGCGUCGAUCAGCCUGGGUUCUCCCUGGUGCACUCGGCGCCGCUCAGGCCAGCAUCAGUUUCAGCGGUUGGAUAAAGGCUUAGGGAACGUGGGUGGCCUCGGCCACCGUUAUAGCCCUAGGUGCAAUGCAGCCUGCUGGGACUGAGGACCGCGCUUCGGCUAGGAUGCUGGCGUAAUGGUUGUAAGCGACCNGUCUUGAAACACGGACCAAGGAGUCUAACAUCUAUGCGAGUGUUUGGGUGUCAAACCCAUGCGCGUAAUGAAAGUGAACGGAGGUGAGAACCCUUAAGGGUGCAUCAUCGACCGAUCCUGAUGUCUUCGGAUGGAUUUGAGUAAGAGCAUAGCUGUUGGGACCCGAAAGAUGGUGAACUAUGCCUGAAUAGGGUGAAGCCAGAGGAAACUCUGGUGGAGGCUCGCAGCGGUUCUGACGUGCAAAUCGAUCGUCAAAUUUGGGUAUAGGGGCGAAAGACUAAUCGAACCAUUGAGAAAACAACCAGCUUACUCUAGGUGGUUGAGAGGCCGGAAAGGCCUAGUCGCUACGGCGGCGAUACUGCAAAACUGCGGGGACUGCUCUAUAGACACAGGCUACCACAGCGGGCUCGAAAGGGCCCGCCACGGUUACAAGGCCUGGCGUCUGAGCUGAUUCGCAACCUCGAACCUACCGCGCCGCUUACCCGGAAGUCACGCACCUCUUACCCGGAGGUCACGCGACGCUUCCCCCGGGGGUGCCACGGUUCGGGGCUCAUCGACUAGAUGGCAGUGGGUUGGGCGCUGUGCGCUCCGCCUAAGAUAUAGUCAGACUGCGGCGACAAUGCUGUGGGCAGCUCGCUAGUAGCUGGUUCACGCCGAAGUUUCCCUCAGGAUAGCAGUGUUGUAUUCAGUUUUAUGAGGUAAAGCGAAUGAUUAGAGGCCUUGGGGUUGAAACAACCUUAACCUAUUCUCAAACUUUAAAUAUGUAAGAAGU
rnacentral:rRNA from 1 species